GAUAACUACUGGAAACGGUAGCUAAUACCGCAUAACGUCGCAAGACCAAAGAGGGGGACCUUAGGGCCUCUUGCCAUCGGAUGUGCCCAGAUGGGAUUAGCUAGUAGGUGGGGUAACGGCUCACCUAGGCGACGAUCCCUAGCUGGUCUGAGAGGAUGACCAGCCACACUGGAACUGAGACACGGUCCAGACUCCUACGGGAGGCAGCAGUGGGGAAUAUUGCACAAUGGGCGCAAGCCUGAUGCAGCCAUGCCGCGUGUAUGAAGAAGGCCUUCGGGUUGUAAAGUACUUUCAGCGGGGAGGAAGGGAGUAAAGUUAAUACCUUUGCUCAUUGACGUUACCCGCAGAAGAAGCACCGGCUAACUCCGUGCCAGCAGCCGCGGUAAUACGGAGGGUGCAAGCGUUAAUCGGAAUUACUGGGCGUAAAGCGCACGCAGGCGGUUUGUUAAGUCAGAUGUGAAAUCCCCGGGCUCAACCUGGGAACUGCAUCUGAUACUGGCAAGCUUGAGUCUCGUAGAGGGGGGUAGAAUUCCAGGUGUAGCGGUGAAAUGCGUAGAGAUCUGGAGGAAUACCGGUGGCGAAGGCGGCCCCCUGGACGAAGACUGACGCUCAGGUGCGAAAGCGUGGGGAGCAAACAGGAUUAGAUACCCUGGUAGUCCACGCCGUAAACGAUGUCGACUUGGAGGUUGUGCCCUUGAGGCGUGGCUUCCGGAGCUAACGCGUUAAGUCGACCGCCUGGGGAGUACGGCCGCAAGGUUAAAACUCAAAUGAAUUGACGGGGGCCCGCACAAGCGGUGGAGCAUGUGGUUUAAUUCGAUGCAACGCGAAGAACCUUACCUGGUCUUGACAUCCACGGAAGUUUUCAGAGAUGAGAAUGUGCCUUCGGGAACCGUGAGACAGGUGCUGCAUGGCUGUCGUCAGCUCGUGUUGUGAAAUGUUGGGUUAAGUCCCGCAACGAGCGCAACCCUUAUCCUUUGUUGCCAGCGGUCCGGCCGGGAACUCAAAGGAGACUGCCAGUGAUAAACUGGAGGAAGGUGGGGAUGACGUCAAGUCAUCAUGGCCCUUACGACCAGGGCUACACACGUGCUACAAUGGCGCAUACAAAGAGAAGCGACCUCGCGAGAGCAAGCGGACCUCAUAAAGUGCGUCGUAGUCCGGAUUGGAGUCUGCAACUCGACUCCAUGAAGUCGGAAUCGCUAGUAAUCGUGGAUCAGAAUGCCACGGUGAAUACGUUCCCGGGCCUUGUACACACCGCCCGUCACACCAUGGGAGUGGGUUGCAAAAGAAGUAGGUAGCUUAACCUUCGGGAGGGCGCUUACCACUUUGUGAUUCAUGACUGGGGUGAAGUCGUAACAAGGUAACCGUAGGGGAACCUGCGGUUGGAUCACCUCCUUACCUUAAAGAAGC
rnacentral:rRNA from 1 species